CUCAGCGCGCAUGCGCUAGCAUCGUGCACGGACCGCUGUCUCCAUUGGCGAAAUGGCGGAAUACCCGCGCAACGACUCAAAUUCAAAUAUAUAAUCUAAAUAUUUAACUUAGAACUAACUAAAAAUUAAAUAAUUUGAAUCGUUACGUGACAUAAUUUAUCUUUAACAGAUUUUAUGCCGUAGUGCUCUCCGGAUAUUUUUUUUGGGUACAAAUAUAUUCUUCGUUUGUGAUACCCAGCCACGAGUUUUAUUAAAACGAUCACCUACAUCAUCCUAUCCUAAUUAUAAUUAAUUUCUCUUGAUUAUUGACUUCAUUUUAAUUUCUAGGUAAAUUUUAACUUGCAACUAUUAAACUAAAUAAUAACAAAAAAAGGGGGAACAUUUUUACGCAAACAUCAUUUAAAUCUUAAUGUAAACUGUAACUGAUUUAUUUAUACCAGCAAGCAUCAAAACAGUCAAAUUUUUCUACUUGAUCCAAUUUAUUUUUCAAAGUAACCACGUUUUCAAUUUUUCGAGGAACAUGAAAAAACGAAUACUGUCAUUUUUAGAAGCACGACUUUUACGACGAUACAAACAAUAUAUGUUACUUUUAAUUGUUUUUGAUAGGAAUUUCAUGUCUACGAAUUGGAUUUUUUUUUUUAAUUAAACGAAAAUAAUUUUUUAAUUCAUAAAAACACAAUAAUUUUAGAGACAAUUGAAUAUUUAUUAUUUAUAUCAGCUGGUAGACGCACAGACACAUGUAAACAUUCAUGAUUUAGACUACUUUGAGUAGUUAUAGUUUUAGCUACCAGUUGUCAUAUCAGCAUUUUAAGGUUCCCAAUAGCUAUUUUUCACUAAUUAUUAAUAUUUGUAUCGAUGAAAAAGUAUUCGGUAUUUUUUUUGGAUUCGAACCUGGAUUCUUCUGCGUAUCAGUUGGAGCAUGUACUAUUCUUCCAAACCAUGGACUUGAUACCCUGUCCAGGACAUCUCAUAGAAUCCAUUAGAUUAUCAUAAAUUCCCAUAGAAAUUUUAUAAGAAUGAAUGAGUUUGUCACGAUAUUUAAAUAUCGUGGCAGUCUCACAUUAGGUCGGUGAGCAACAGAUGGCAGCACACGCUGCUCUCACGUCUCUACACUCAUUAAUUUUAUGAUUAUUUUGUUUAUAUAUAUAAGAUUUUAUAUUUAUUAGUACACUGCUUGGACUUAAUUAUUUUAUUAGAUGAAAACUGCGCUGAAAUCAGCAAAAGAAAAAAUUACUGAUUAUAUUGAAGUUACAAGUAUAAUUAUGAGGCUGGGAGAUAAUUAUUCGUUUUAUUUAUAUGCUUGUAAUUAUUGUGUUGGUCGGCGCAUGCGCGGCGACGCAACAGUUGUCAGCAGCAAGUUAUUCUAGUAUAAAUGAAACUUAUAAUUAUUUUACAUACAUUAUUAAUUGGUUUGGCAAUUUAAUUUACUGUCAAUGUCAUAAUAUCACGGGUACUUGGGCAGUUGACGUCGGGAAUUGGCAAUGUUGCACAAUUGACAUCGGAUACGUCGUCGUUGGUAGUAUUUGAAAUUAAAAUGCGACAGAGAUAUUGCUCCGAUGGGUUAAACUGAGAUGCCUAUAUAAAAUAUGGCCGGUCGAGGUGCCGGCAUGAAAAUCACGUGCUGCCAUGGUCAGACGUGGAUAAACUGUUGUACGAGCAGUGUGUGUGCCUGGUUGCUAAAUUUUGUAUUGCACAUUUUGAGUUCUUUUUUUUUUCUGCUAUUUAUUUAUUAAAUAAUUUCGGGCUAUUGUUGCCAAGUUGCUCCGGUUAUUGUGAAGGGGUAUUUAUUACACAUUGUAAUACCUAGAGUAGUAUCGUCCGUACGUGUCGAGUACACCAACGAUCUCAAUGGCAGUAUCCCAGGAAUAUAUCCAGAGGAAUCGUAUUACCCCAGGGACCGCCGAAUGGAAGGUGGAAGUGGAGGGGAUUUUCCAUCAGCAGGUGGCAGCAUGGCAGCGACAAUGGGCAACCCGCGUCGCCCCUGCAGGAUGCGCGAGAUGCUACUCGUGGGACCAUUGCGCGCGUAGCUGCACGAACCCACCAGCGGAGUUACGACCGUUCUGUGAUGAGUGUGUUUGGUUCUUCGAUACGGACCGUUGCUAUGGGCCCCACGGGAGAGCUCGGUUGGCAGUCCGAAACCGGUGCAUGAUCUGCUGCUGUGAGAAGAUGGUAGACCGACGUUGCCGCAAGUGCCGCCGAACGGUAUCAGAGCAGUUGUGGGAGCUGCCUCGUUUACCCAAGUUUACUUGGGACCCAGUGGUGAUACGUACCUAUCGACUCGACGAGUGGGAUUCUCGGGCUCAAUAACUCGCUAGAGAGUUGCGAGCAAUAUUGGAGCCGGGGCAGGCAUUCUCAUAAGGAGUUGAAGAGCGGAGCUCCAAUAAACAUUUAUUCUUUUUCUAGUUUCGCCAUUUAUCAUUUAUGUUUUCUGUUGGGCUAGUUGUCCGAUUUAUAUUAUUCUUUGAUAUUGUUUUACGCCGUAAGGUAUACCCAGUUGCCACGCGUCAUUGGAUGUAGAGUAGUCAAAUGUUAAUUUUACAUCUCCAUUAAAGUGUCGGCCUAUUUCAUAA